CAAUUGCAACACUGCAUUUUCUCUUUCCCGUUUAAGGCCUCGCUUUACAGAUUUGUCUUUUAUCUUAUAGGUUUUUAUAAAACCCUGCAUCUCUGCACACUGCCUCAGAUCAAAUGUCCCCUCUGAAGGCCAGGGCGACGUGGAUUCAUGAGUCCGCUUGCUCCAUUGGUAAAUUGGCGUCUACGAACAGGAUCCCGCGGCAGGUCCUCUGGACGGCGUGAUCAGGGACGGCGGUCCUGAGGACUAGGUUCACUCAGCCUCCAAACCUCUACAGCUGUUCUGAGUGGGAGGACUGCUCACCCGUCUGGAUCGCCUCUGACGAGAUCCAACGAACUCAAAAUCCAACCUCUACUCAGCCCGGUGAGAGAGAUUCCGUUUUGUUGCGACUUGUUAAGGAAAAAAAAAUAAGAAAACGGGUUUGAAAUUGGUUUCAGGUAUUCGGGUUUACUUGGCUCUGAUCAUUUGGUUUAGGGAAAAUAAGGCAAAUAACAAUUAAUUCUAAAACAUCCCCAACUAGACUAAAACAACGACAAAAGAAAAUAUAUCUAGGAAAAGAGAUAAUAAUAUUUCUAAAACGACUAUGUGGCUGAAAACAUCUAAAAUAUAAAAAAAAUUAGGACCAAACAAAUUUUUUUUUUAAAUUAAAAAAUUUAAUAUUCGGGUACAAAAAUGAAUUAGGUCAAAGUCUGCCCUGGUGGCCGAGACGGUGGUUGCUAAGGGUUGGCUCGUGGAACGGGCUUGUUUUGUCUGUACUGAGGAUACAGACCAGUGUGCAGAUCUGAGCGCAGUCCAAAGGGUGUGGACAAGGAAAUAAAAGACGGCUUCUGAAAUACGGAGCGCGUUUGCAGGGGGAAGUGGUUUUGAGAUACGAGGGACCCGGGUCUUAGAGGGGCCUGACGGUGAAGGACCACUUCCGAGAACCCUGUCGCUGAUCUGAGCAGUUCCCUUUCUACGGAGACGUCCGUGGAAGAGAAAUUUCGAAAAAAGGUUCCGGCCGGAACACAAAAAAGUCUAAGGCAGAAAACCGCCGGGACUCUGAAAGAUGGGUUCGGGGCGAUCUAAGUCUCCACCACCAGACUGCAGCAUUACAAAAUUAAUGAGACGUAAAUAUGGUGAUGAGUGCGUGUCAUGUCUUCACGACUGGACAAAACAUUAUGGGUUUCAAGAAGGUGGAUCACUCAGUGUGAAGGACAUACGCGCUUUAAAAGAAAAAUUAGAAGAAAAGGAGAAACAGCUCCGCAAAAGUAGAACGAUCAAAGUUAAAACCUUAGAAGAAAUUGAAUUAAACAACAGAUGCCUUGAGAUUUGGGUUAAAGAAUCAGAACGCAGGGAAAGAUUGAAAUGCCAAAAAGAACUAGGAGGGAGAAAGGACGAGAGUGGUGACGUAGCUGGCAGAAAAGAUAACAACUCUGUGGAAGCUUGCACACCGCCACCAUACACACAUACACACACACAACAUGAUGACAAACAAAGCGCUCCCACUGUUUCUGCUUUGUAUCCCUUUGCAGAGCUGAGCGCGGUCAAGGUGAAUCCCGACCUGGACUCCUUCUACGUCAGCAGGAAGGCCGGGCAGGGUGGACAGCAGGACCAACAGCAACAGCCUGACCAACAGCAACAGCCUGACCAACGACAACAGCCUGAGCAACGACAACAGCCUGCCCCACUGCAACAGCCUGGCCAACCUCUGUCAUCAGGAGCUGUAACAUCAGCUGCAGAGCAGUCAGAGCAUGUGAAGGACAGUGUAAAUGCCACACCAACUCCUGGAAUGGAUGCACAGGCGUUCUGGGCCAAUUCACCUGUCGGCUUCAUUCCUACAUCAUCCACUGCCACAAGCUGUGCCCAUGCACCAACUGCCACUACGAGUGCUGCCUCUGCAACUACCAGCGUUCGUACCCUGAGGAGCAACACACCAGUAGCUCCAGAAAUCAGCUUGCCCAUGGUGGAAGUGGCCGGCCCUGAAGGAAGCAUGCUAGUGCACAGACCAUGGACUAGCGCUGACAUAGCUGACUUUGCCCACACUCUUCCAGACAUCACUGUAUCAGGAAAGACAUUCGGUGCCAACCUUCUGGCUUUCUGCCAGGAGUACAGACCCACUGGAGCUGAGAUCCGUCGCAUCCUGGCCAAACCUUGUGAAUACCAAAAGCUGGCUAGACAAUUGCCUGAUGUGACACUUGCUCUCAAACACAAAGACUGGACAAACAACUUAAAUGAUGGAUUCGUUACCGCAGUGAGGACGCUUGUUGCCCACCUCGAAACUGCGUUCCCUGAUAAAGUCUGUAUGAUUAAAGUCACCACAUGCAAACAACAACCAGAGGAAUCAGUUGAUGACUUUGUUCACCGCCUCACCACUGCAUAAAACACACGGAGGAGCUCAUCCUCCCCCUGAAGGAGUGGGAGGACUCAUCUGUUCAACAUACGAGAGUCACCUGUGUGAACUGGUGAUGAAAGGCUUACUCCCUGAAGUUUUUGACGCCGUGAAGCAGUCAUACAUCGGAUGGAAAGAAGAAGCGCGUCUGUCUGACCUCACAAGACACGCACGCCAUGCUUAUGACACUCUCCAGCAAAAGAAGAUGGCGAAGAAGGAAAAACAACAGAGCGAACUGUAUCUGCCAUCCUUGGAGAUGUUCUCUGCAAUGCAUAACAACAACAGAGGAGCGCACAGUUUUCGCGGGCGAGGAAGAGGAAGAGACUUCAGACGGCAUUGGCCCGACAGAGACACAGGAGGCGCAUCUGGAGAUCUAGGAAACGCUUGCCACAUCUGCGGCGAGAUGGGACACUGGAAGAAGUACUGCCCCCGGCUACGUCAGGUUCCACCCUCCCGGGCACUCUCGUCAGACUGACUAGAGGAGGAGCCCAGCGAAGGUUUCCGUUCACAUGAUGACGUAGACGAUCCACAUGUCCUUCUGUCAAAACAUGACGGAGACAGAUGGCAGGACUUGGGUCAUUUCGUGGACAGAUGUCAACGGGAAGGAGACUGGCAAACGACUUCCGACACCGAAUGUGAUGUAUUCACCUACUUUGCAUGCUUACAAAAAACUUUUUCAGUCUAACUUUCAUGCGCAGCGUACAGUGCACUUGGUACCUCAACAUUACACACACACUCCACACCACGUGUUUUUGUAGGAGGACGCUCUGACGCAGUAUCCAGCCUUACAGGAAGUUCCAACUUCCCUGUGGGCCACACACAAAUAUGAUGUAGGUCUGAUCAAAGAAUGUGACCCAGUGGUCAUCACGCCAAAAUCUGACUACAGACCAUGCAAACAGCAAUACCCUUUAAAGAGAGAAGCAAUUGAAGGAAUAACACCGGUGUUUAACUCUAAACAGUUUAGUUUUGUUUAAGGCUAAAUUUUUUUCAGUAAUUGAUUUGGCCAAUGCUUUUUUCAGCGUGCCCGUCCACAAAGACAGUCAAUUCUGGUUCGCUUUUGAAUUUAACGGAAAGUCAUACACCUUUACCAGACUGUGUCAGGGGUAUUCAGAAAGCCCUACAAUCUACAAUAUGGCACUGAAAGACAGCCUGGAUGAUCUUGUCUUGUCCCCAGGCACCGCCCUGCUGCAGUACGUUGACGACUUAAUGAUCUGCAGUGAGGAUCAGGAAACUUGCGCAGCAGACACAAUCAAGCUGCUGAAACACCUGCAGGCUGCAGGCCACAAAGCAAGUCUGUCUAAAUUACAGUUUGUUCAGACUGAAGUUACCUUCCUAGGUCACAACAUCACCGCUGAAGGGAAAUCCAGUUCACCUAAAAGAGCUGAAGCUAUUCAGAACCUGCCUAAACCGUGCACAUACAAACAGCUUAUGUCCUUUUUAGGCAUGUGCUCUUAUUGCAGGAAUUUCAUUCCUAACUGCGCCGUCUUGGAGGCUCCACUUAGAGCUCUUAUGCAGACGUCUUCUGCAUCCACCGCCCUCCUCAUGUGGACAUCUGAGGCUGAACAGGCGUUCACUGACCUCAAACAUGCUCUUCAGUCGGCUCCUACUUUGGGUCUGCCUGACCCUACGCGACCUUUCACCCAAACAGUGGAUGAGAAAUCAGGUUGUAUGACCUCUGUCCUUCUACAGGAUCACGGAGGGCGUCCACGCCCUGUAGCCUAUUUCUCUGCUAAGCUUGACCCAGUCGCUGCGGGGCUCCCACAAUGCCUCCGAGCAGUGGCUGCGGCAGAGAAAGCCGUGCUGGCAUCACGUGACAUUGUUGGCUAUUCUGAUGUCACCCUGCUGGUUCAUCAUGCCGUGUCUUUGAUCCUUUUGGAACAGAAAACAUCACAUCUUUCUACAGCCCGAUGGCUUAGAUACAACACCAUCUUACUGGAAAUGCCAAACAUCUCCAUCUACACCACACGAGAAAACCACCACUGACGAAAAGAAUUGAGAAGGACGACCCUCGCUGUGCUCACACACACACAGAGGCGAGGCUGCGUUGACCAUUCAGCUAAAGGUGUGAGCCAAGCGCCGCCUGAAGCUGCGCCGGUGAAUCACACUAUCAGACCAUACAUCUACACACACGUUCCUGAGAAAACACACACACGAGCAGCCUUGAGUUGCCUACGCUGGACGACGUGUAGACUCUUCACAUCACGGGGAGUGACAGUGACUCAGACGACAUUGGGAGGAAACCUGGCGGUGAUAACAAAUCCCAAGUGUCUCUGUGAUCAGCUGAUCACAACCUGAAGAACUCCAACGAACUGUCAAGGUGUCAACAAACAGGUUGGAAACAAUCUAACACCACUAUUCAACAGGAAGCAGAAGACAUUGAUUGUGACCCUGUUGCUUUGAUCCUUAUUGUAUGUUACUUUAAUAUUUGCUCUAAAUUGUGUGGUUGAUUUACAUGUAUGCCUCUCUGUGAUUUUAUCCACUAUUUUUUGAACAAAACAUUUUACGACAAGCAUAUCUAGAGUUGUUUUCCACUUGAUUCACACUUUCACACAAAUUUUUAUCUUUCACUGACGCAAAAUGAUAUCCACCAGACGAAACAAGAUAAAAAUGACGAUCAUAUCAGCCAUUGCGGUGACAUGUGUGACCCUCCUGUACUAUUUGUUCACUAUAGAUACAAGCGUGACAUUAAGGACCCUAAAGCUUGGCAGCUUGCCCAAAACUAUGUAAAUCAGAACCCCACAGGAAACUUAUGGUUAGCAUACAUCAAGUACACUUCUGAAACCCUCACAAACAAUUCAUGCGUAGCAUGUGCUGUCGCGAGACCCGAUCUCAUGGCUGUGCCCACUCCCUUUAACAGCAGCGAGUGUUACAACGAGCGACAACUGCAGAAUAAGGACACCGGGUGUAAAUACACUGCGGACCCCAGUGUUUCGAGAUGCGAUCCAUCUUGCAAAAUGUGCGCCUUGCACAAUCUGGGCAAGGGUAUGGAGAUGUACAGUCCCGACACACAUAAGAAAGUAGAGGUGGCCGACAUCAAGGUAAUGGAAAAGGAGCCCGCGGCUCCCUUGUAUUACAUGGUGUGUACCACGUGUCAGUUUGAAUGUUUCACCUCCGGCCUCGACGGAGGAAUAGAUGUAGGCCAUUUUCCCAAUUGUCACCUGACGUGGGACGUCUCCAACGCGCACGAGCUUAACCCUGAAGACCAUGUGAUCCGGUUUGCGAUUCCAACUCACACCGAUUCUGCCCCUUUACCCUCAUAUACAUAUAGGAUCGAUAAUGUCUCACACGUUGCCCCAUCCUCCACCGACUUAGUCCAGCAAAGGAAGUCCUUGUCCGACAUGUGGUGGCUCUGCGGGGAUCACCCCAGGGCCACCUUACCAACCAAUUGGACCGGCCCCUGUACUCAGGUAAUGUUCCUCACAGGGGGAAUACACCUUUUGCCCUCAGCUCCACAGAAACACUCACGCACCAGGCGCAGGGCUCCAGGAGGUUCCUUGGAUCCUGACCUCUACAUAGAUGCAAUAGGCGUACCACGAGGAGUGCCGGAAGAGUUUAAGGCUCGCAACGAGCAUGCGGCGGGGUGGACGAGUGCUAUACCCUUUAUGGGCCCCAUAAUAGAGGUUAACAAGAAUUCGGCCUGGAUCAACUACCUUUAUUACAAUCAACAGCAUGUCUGGGCAGCUGGCUCCUACGUCUCAGAUGACUUGGCAGAAUAGAAUGGCCCUGGACAUAUUGCUAGCGGAGAAAGGAGGUGUCUGUGUUAUGUUUGGAGAAGCGUGCUGUACUUUUAUCCCCAACAACACUGAUUCUAAUGGCACUGUGACAAAGGCUAUCGAGGGCCUUGAGAAUCUUAGAGUCGAAUGGGCUAGAAACUCCGGCGUAGAUCCGUCCCCUUGGCGCUGGCUAGACCAAACUUUUGGAAAAUGGAAAUCAAUUUUUAUUUCGGCAAUAGUCUCGCUUAUCAUCUUCAUGGCCGUGAUCAUGUUGCUUGGUUGUUGUGUUAUUCCUCUGAUUAGGGGUCUCAUCAUGCGCGCGACAUCAGCGGCGCUUUCGUACCAAAUGACACAAUGCACUACAUUCAGGAAUCCGGACACCGAUUUACUCAUUGAUUCUGAUGCUGAUUCUGUAGAGAAUGAUGUUGACGUUGAUAAUGAGGACUACAAAGAUGACUUCGAUGAUGAUGAUAGUGACGUAGAGGCCGACUCCACAAUAGUUUAAAUCAACACAUAAUCCUCCUCCCAUUUUCAGGAUGAAUGAACAUGAUCUGAUUGGAAUCACUUAUAGGCUUAUGUCCCUGUCUUUCCAACGCUCAUACACAAGGGUUAUUCUAGUAUAACUACCCACAAAAACAGCUCACAAUCUUUUAUCCCUAC